CUGAUUUCCACUUGGGGGAGUCACCGUGCUGUAUGACCUCCUAAUGCAGCCUACACCUCGACUGAACAUGGAAAGAAAGAACGGCUUUCUUCUGCUUCACAGCUGAACAGAGUGAAGACAUUUCCAAUGAACUUCCAGCACAUUAUAACGGAUAUGUUUCAUUAGCACUGGAAACCAGCUCACCAGGUCUUAGCCUCCAGCAGCAGGAGGAACAUUUAAAGUUCCCCGGCAUCACUCAUCUGCAUUUUCUUGUUAACGUGCAGCACAUUCCCCACCAGCUUCAUUGCUUCCUGUCCCCCUCCCUUACUCCGAGGAGAAUAAACAUGUUGGAAGUGAUUUUUCCAUUCCUUCGCCCCCCCCCUUUUUUUAUUGCCUGUCACUUCUUCCACCAUCUGCUGCCACCAGAAACUAUUAUGCUUGUUACUCUGAAAAAGCCACAUUUUUCUUUAGUAUCAUAAAGGAAUACAGACAAAUCUGACCAAGAGGAUCACAAUGACCAGGUUAAGUAGCCUGCUCUAUAGUCACUUGGUCAAGAGUCUAAGAUGCAUAGCACCAUACUUGAUUAAGAUGUUUAAACUUAUUUUACAGUAACUAUAUCCUAUAUAAUCUA